ensembl:snoRNA
AUCCUUGUUGAUGAUUGGGUGGUCACACAUGUAUGUGACAUAUGCCACCCUUAAACCUUGUUAUGAUGUUGGCACAUUACCUGUCUGACC